GAUUGGAUAGAUGCUGGGUUUCCUUAGGGUUUCAGUGGAUUUUCGCCAGUUAUUUGCUUUGGUUUUAAUGUAAAAGGAAGUUAAUCAGAUCCAUCUCUCGCUUGAAUGGAAUUUCUCAAGGAAACAGCGAGAUGUAAUGCUAGGGUUUCGACUUCAUGGCUGAAGUUGGUGGAGCCUUGGAGGUACUGGUUCUGGAUUGGGGUCACUUCUUUUGGGAUGUCUCUCAGUUGACUAUGGAAAGAAGA